rnacentral:lncRNA from 1 species
UUGGGUUCUAUAAGAGAGCAGGCUGAGCAAGCCAUGGGAAGCAAGCCAGUAAGGAUCAUCCCUCCAUGGCUUCUGCAUCAGCUCCUGCUUUCUGACCCGCUUGAGUUCCAGUCCUGACUUCCUUUGCUGAAGAACAACAAUGUGGAAGAUGGUAACUGGACCUGGAUAGAGGGAAGUGACAAGUCCUCUACUUGCCUGAGGAGAAAGAUGUCAAUGGAGAAGGUAGAUUCUAAAGAGACAUAGGCCUGCCUCAGUAGAACAGAAUGUGACGGAACAUCACCUCAAACGGAAUGGGCUAGUUGCUGUCUCUUGGAACCUUUAUUCAAAAAAGGCUUAGCAUUUAGUGGCCAGUUUGAAUUUUGAACCUUGGAAUACUGCUCAGAUUCACCUAUGGUUGAUGAUCACUUUUGAAUGGAGCCAGAGCAAGAGACAGAACUAUGGGAGAGUUAGACUCUAGCAGGGGAAGCCUUGUUUCAGACCCUGUUUGUGAGGGCUUUGAUCUUUUCACCCUUGCUUAUUGAAUUAAGAAUGGAGAGUUCAUGGACUUUGAGUGACAUUUAAAACUAAAAACAAAACAAAACAAAACAAAACAAAACAAAAAAACCCCAAACUUCUUCCUCAAUUUAUUUACAAAUCAACCAGCUUGAAAAGAUUUACUUCUUCCAUGAAAUAGUCCAAUCAAAAUUUAUGAAAUGCCAGAAAGGAAAAAAAUAAGCUCAAAAAUACAACCACCAGAGUGCUCUACAGCCAUAUGAAUCAGCCCACCUCAUGGUAGUUGUAGAUGUUUGAGUGAAAAAUUAGCCUAUGGGGCCCACCCUGCUGAGUGGUAAUCCCUGGAUUCAGCUUUUUAUACCACAUUGCAGAUUUCCUGCUUCUGAAGUGAUGGAAGAAUGAUUCUGCUAGUCAACUCAUAGGAGCUAUUUACUUGGAAUGUGCUCAGCUGAAUUUAGCCAAUGCACUGAUAACCAAUUCCUUGCUUUUAUAAGACCUUCUGUAUUUGUUUUUAAAAAAUAAAUUUUGAAUUCAGC